UACGUAGGGGGCAAGCGUUGUCCGGAUUUAUUGGGCGUAAAGAGCGUGUAGGCGGCCUGAAAGGUCAGCUGUGAAAACUCGAGGCUCAACCUCGAGACGUCGGUUGAAACCAUCUGGCUAGAGUCCGGAAGAGGAGUGUGGAAUUCCCGGUGUAGCGGUGAAAUGCGCAGAUAUCGAGAGGAACACCGGUGGCGAAGGCGGCCAACUGGACGAAUACUGACGCUGAGACACGAAAGCGUGGGGAGCAAACAGG
rnacentral:rRNA from 1 species